rnacentral:rRNA from 1 species
AAUGAACGUUGGCGGCGUGGAUUAGGCAUGCAAGUCGCGUGACAAGGAACCUUCGGGUUCUGGAGGAGCGGCAAACGGGGUAGUAAGGCAUCGGAACGUACCCUCUUGUUGGGAAUAGCCGCGGGAAACUGCGAGUAAUGCCCAAUAAUCCCUACGGGGCAAAGGUCCGCCGCAGGAGGAGCGGCCGAUGUGAUACCAGCUAGUUGGUGAGGUAAUGGCUCACCAAGGCUUAGACGUCUAGGGGGUGUGAGAGCAUGGCCCCCACCACUGGGACUGAGAUACUGCCCAGACACCUACGGGUGGCUGCAGUCGAGAAUCUUCGGCAAUGGGCGCAAGCCUGACCGAGCAACGCCGCGUGCGGGAGUGAA